rnacentral:rRNA from 1 species
GACGAACGCUGGCGGCGUGCCUAAUACAUGCAAGUAGAACGCUGAAGGAGGAGCUUGCUUCUCUGGAUGAGUUGCGAACGGGUGAGUAACGCGUAGGUAACCUGCCUGGUAGCGGGGGAUAACUAUUGGAAACGAUAGCUAAUACCGCAUAAUAGUAGAUGUCGCAUGACAUUUGCUUAAAAGGUGCAAUUGCAUCACUACCAGAUGGACCUGCGUUGUAUUAGCUAGUUGGUGAGGUAACGGCUCACCAAGGCAACGAUACAUAGCCGACCUGAGAGGGGGAUCGGCCACACUGGGACUGAGACACGGCCCAGACUCCUACGGGAGGCAGCAGUAGGGAAUCUUCGGCAAUAGACGGAAGUCUGACCGAGCAACGCCGCGUGAGUGAAGAAGGGUUUCGGAUCGUAAAGCUCUGUUGUAAGAGAAGAACGAGUGUGAGAGUGGAAAGUUCACACUGUGACGGUAUCUUACCAGAAAGGGACGGCUAACUACGUG